rnacentral:rRNA from 1 species
UGGGGAAUUUUGGACAAUGGGCGAAAGCCUGAUCCAGCAAUGCCGCGUGUGUGAAGAAGGCCUUCGGGUUGUAAAGCACUUUUGUCCGGAAAGAAAUCCUUGGCUCUAAUACAGUCGGGGGAUGACGGUACCGGAAGAAUAAGCACCGGCUAACUACGUGCCAGCAGCCGCGGUAAUACGUAGGGUGCAAGCGUUAAUCGGAAUUACUGGGCGUAAAGCGUGCGCAGGCGGUUUGCUAAGACCGAUGUGAAAUCCCGGGCUCAACCUGGGAACUGCAUUGGUGACUGGCAGGCUAGAGUAUGGCAGAGGGGGGUAGAAUUCCACGUGUAGCAGUGAAAUGCGUAGAGAUGUGGAGGAAUACCGAUGGCGAAGGCAGCCCCCUGGGCCAAUACUGACGCUCAUGCACGAAAGCGUGGGGAGCAAACAGGAUUAGAUACCCUGGUAGUCCACGCCCUAAACGAUGUCAACUAGUUGUUGGGGAUUCAUUUCCUUAGUAACGUAGCUAACGCGUGAAGUUGACCGCCUGGGGAGUACGGUCGCAAGAUUAAAACUUAAAGGAAUUGACGGGGUCAUAGCUGUUUCCU